AAAUCCAUGGUUGAAAUGGUAGAUUUCACUUCUUCCUGGUGAUGGUGGUGGUUGCUCAGAACGACUUGUUAUACAGCUGUAUGGAUGAGAACAUCAUUGCUGCAUACUGCCAUGUCUAUGUCAAGAUUAAAUAAUACAUGAUAGAAAGUGUAUAGUAAAUAAUGCACUUGGAAUUUUUUGAAGAUAAAUGGAAAGACUCAAUUAGUCUGUGUAAAGCAACUUCUCUGUGGAAUGCCGAAGAGCCUUCAAACUAAUUUCAUUUUCACCCUACCUGUUCACUGCCAUUUCAGAAAAACUUGAAAAGAGCUAGGUGUGGUGGAACAAACUCUUAAUCCCAGCACUCUGGAGGCAGAGUUGGGUGUACACUGAGUUCAAGUCCCACCUGAACCACCUACCAAGUUCCAGAUCAGCCAGGGCUAUGUAGUGAGGUCUUGUCUAAUCACAAAUAAACAAUAACCAGGAAAGACUGACAACCUUUUAGGCUGCAGCAACCUUAAAUGUCCAAUUUUGCAUUCCAAUGAACUAUUACUAUCCCCAAUUUUAACAUGGUGACAUUUACUUCAGGAGAACGUAGCUGUCAACGGUAACAAUGCAUGUCAAGCUACAUCUUCUUCCUUCAUAAUGUAGUUUCCUCCUUCAUUUAGAUGACACUUGUGACAUUAAUUUAUGACUCAACCCACACAUCAAAGGAAAAUGAUAUAUGUUGGUAAAACAUUACUUCUAAGAAUGAAAGAGAAAGCCC
rnacentral:lncRNA from 1 species